rnacentral:rRNA from 1 species
UAGGGAAUAUUGCACAAUGGAGGAAACUCUGAUGCAGCGACGCCGCGUGAGUGACGAAGGCCUUCGGGUUGUAAAGCUCUGUUCUCAGGGAAAAAGAAAGUGAUUGUACCUGAGAAGAAAGGACCGGCUAACUUCGUGCCAGCAGCCGCGGUAAGACGAGGGGUCCAAGCGUUGUUCGGAAUCAUUGGGCGUAAAGCGGGUGUAGGCGGCCUUGCAAGUCAGGAGUGAAAGCCCCGAGCUUAACUCGGGAAGUGCUUUUGAUACUGCAGGGCUUGAAUGUGGGAGAGGGUAGUGGAAUUCCAGGUGUAGUGGUGAAAUACGUAGAUAUCUGGAGGAACACCGGUGGCGAAGGCGGCUACCUGGCCCAACAUUGACGCUGAGACCCGAAAGCAUGGGGAUCAAACA